rnacentral:rRNA from 1 species
GAUGAACGCUGGCGGCGUGCCUAAUACAUGCGAGUCGAGCGAACGGACGAGAAGCUUGCUUCUCUGAUGUUAGCGGCGGACGGGUGAGUAACACGUGGAUAACCUACCUAUAAGACUGGGAUAACUUCGGGAAACCGGAGCUAAUACCGGAUGAUAUUUUGAACCGCAUGGUUCAAAAGUGAAAGACGGUCUUGCUGUCACUUAUAGAUGGAUCCGCGCUGCAUUAGCUAGUUGGUAAGGUAACGGCUUACCAAGGCAACGAUGCAUAGCCGACCUGAGAGGGUGAUCGGCCACACUGGAACUGAGACACGGUCCAGACUCCUACGGGAGGCAGCAGUAGGGAAUCUUCCGCAAUGGGCGAAAGCCUGACGGAGCAACGCCGCGUGAGUGAUGAAGGUCUUCGGAUCGCAAAACUCUGUUAUUAGGGAAGAACAUAUGUGUAAGUAACUGUGCACAUCUUGACGGUACCUAAUCAGAAAGCCACGGCUAACUACGUG